UACGUAGGUGGCAAGCGUUGUCCGGAUUUACUGGGCGUAAAGAGCGCGCAGGCGGUCGAUCAAGUCGCGUGUGAAAGCCCCCGGCUCAACUGGGGAGGGUCACGCGAUACUGAUCGACUCGAAGGCAGGAGAGGGUAGUGGAAUUCCCGGUGUAGUGGUGAAAUGCGUAAAUAUCGGGAGGAACACCAGUGGCGAAGGCGACUACCUGGCCUGUUCUUGACGCUGAGGCGCGAAAGCUAGGGGAGCAAACGGG
rnacentral:rRNA from 1 species